rnacentral:rRNA from 1 species
AGAGUUGAUCAUGGCUCAGAACGAACGCUGGCGGCGUGCUUAAGACAUGCAAGUCGAGCGAGAAAGCCACCUUCGGGUGGUGAGUAAAGCGGCGCACGGGUGAGUAACGCGUGGAUAAUCUACCUGUAGGUCUGGGAUAACUCCGGGAAACUGGGGCUAAUACCGGAUAAGACCACGGGGUCUUCGGGUCUUGCGGAAAAAGGUGGCCUCUUCUUGAAAGCUACCGCCUAUCGAUGAGUCCGCGUCCCAUUAGCUUGUUGGCGAGGUAAAGGCUCACCAAGGCUUCGAUGGGUAGCUGGUCUGAGAGGAUGAUCAGCCACACUGGAACUGAGACACGGUCCAGACUCCUGCGGGAGGCAGCAGUCGGGAAUUUUGGGCAAUGGGGGAAACCCUGACCCAGCAACGCCGCGUGAGGGAUGAAGGCCUUCGGGUCGUAAACCUCUGUCGGAAGGGAAGAAAGGUGUCCGUUCGAAUAGAGCGGGGGCUUGACGGUACCUUCAAAGGAAGCACCGGCUAACUCCGUGCCAGCAGCCGCGGUAAUACGGAGGGUGCAAGCGUUGUUCGGAAUUACUGGGCGUAAAGCGCGUGUAGGCGGCUUGGCCAGUCGAGUGUGAAAUCCCAGGGCUCAACCCUGGAACUGCACCCGAAACUGCCUGGCUAGAGUCCCGGAGAGGGUGGCGGAAUUUCCGGUGUAGAGGUGAAAUUCGUAGAUAUCGGAAGGAACACCAGUGGCGAAGGCGGCCACCUGGACGGUGACUGACGCUGAGACGCGAAAGCGUGGGGAGCAAACAGGAUUAGAUACCCUGGUAGU